rnacentral:pre_miRNA from 1 species
UGAGGUAGUAGAUUGAAUAGUUGUGGGGUCUGAGUCCUCUCUCUGAGAUAACUAUACAAUCUACUGUCUUUC